rnacentral:rRNA from 1 species
UACGUAGGGUGCAAGCGUUGUCCGGAAUUAUUGGGCGUAAAGCGCGUGUAGGCGGUUGCCCAAGUCGGGGGUGAAAGCCUUGAGCUCAACUCAAGAAAUGCACUCGGUACUGGGUGACUAGAGGACCGGAGAGGAUAGUGGAAUUCCCAGUGUAGUGGUGAAAUACGUAGAGAUUGGGAAGAACACCAGUGGCGAAGGCGGCUAUCUGGACGGUUUCUGACGCUAAGACGCGAAAGCGUGGGAAGCAAACAGG